rnacentral:tRNA from 1 species
GCGGGGGUUACCGAGUCAGGUCAAAGGUGGCAGACUCAAGAUCUGCUCCCGAAGGGGUUCGCAGGUUCGAAUCCUGCCCCCCGCA